UCCCUGUUAGCUUAGAUGGUAAAGAACCUGCCUGCAAUGCAGAAGACCUGGGUUUGAUCCCUGGAGAAGGGA
rnacentral:tRNA from 1 species